GAUGAACGCUGGCGGCGUGCCUAAUACAUGCAAGUCGAACGAAACUUCUUUAUCACCGAGUGCUUGCACUCACCGAUAAAGAGUUGAGUGGCGAACGGGUGAGUAACACGUGGGCAACCUGCCCAAAAGAGGGGGAUAACACUUGGAAACAGGUGCUAAUACCGCAUAACCACAGUUACCGCAUGGUAACUAUGUAAAAGGUGGCUAUACUACCGCUUUUGGAUGGGCCCGCGGCGCAUUAGCUAGUUGGUAGGGUAAAGGCUUACCAAGGCAAUGAUGCGUAGCCGAAUUGAGAGGUUGAUCGGCCACAUUGGGACUGAGACACGGCCCAAACUCCUACGGGAGGCAGCAGUAGGGAAUCUUCCACAAUGGGCGAAAGCCUGAUGGAGCAACGCCGCGUGGGUGAAGAAGGUCUUCGGAUCGUAAAACCCUGUUGUUAGAGAAGAAAGUGCGUGAGAGUAACUGUUCACGUUUCGACGGUAUCUAACCAGAAAGCCACUGCUAACUACGUG
rnacentral:rRNA from 1 species